CCUACGGGUGGCAGCAGUGAGGAAUAUUGGUCAAUGGACGAGAGUCUGAACCAGCCAAGUAGCGUGAAGGAUGACUGCCCUAUGGGUUGUAAACUUCUUUUAUAUGGGAAUAAAAUGUUCCACGUGUGGGAUUUUGUAUGUACCAUAUGAAUAAGGAUCGGCUAACUCCGUGCCAGCAGCCGCGGUAAUACGGAGGAUCCGAGCGUUAUCCGGAUUUAUUGGGUUUAAGGUGAACGUAGAUGGGUUGUUAAGUCAGUUGUGAAAGUUUGCGGCUCAACCGUAAAAUUGCAAUUGAUACUGGUAGCCUUGAGUACAGUUGAGGUAGGCGGAAUUCGAGGUGUAGCGGUGAAAUGCUUAGAGAUGACGAAGAAUUCCGAUUGCGAAGGCAGCCUACUAAACAGACACUGACAUUGAUGCUCGAAAGUGUGGGUAGCAAACAGGAUUAGAUACCCGUGUAGUC
rnacentral:rRNA from 1 species